rnacentral:lncRNA from 1 species
GAGCCAAUAUUCCAGCAGCCAGCUCCGAGUGAGAUGUUCUGUAAUCUUAUGCAGGUUGGAUUGCCACACCCCCUCAAUGCUGCUGUCCCCCAGGGACCCAGCAACUCAGGAACUCAGACUAUAUCAUUCUUGGAACUCUGACAUUUCCAU